UAAAACAAGGAUAACUUUUAAAUACUGUGUUAAUACAAAAAUCCCCUCGAAUUGUUAAGUGCGUUCAAUGCUUUUUUGUGUUUAUCUCAUGCCUCAGAGAUUUGUUUUGAUUUUGUCCUGUUGCAAUAUAUUUUUUGUCUUUUCGAAAGGGGGGGGCUGACGCUGCGCACUUUGACGUCACCCGUUCCGUCCGACGCUGCGGCGAGAGAGCGAGUGCGCGAACGUUCUGGAACUUUCAUGUCGGAGACACGCUCGCCUUCCAUAAAGAAGGAUGCUGUCAGAGUCGCAGAGCAUGCACGGCGUUGUGGUGCAGAUCUGAAUGUGGUACUUGCCCACUGGCUGUCGGAGGAACAUGGUGUAAAAUGUUGCAACUUCAUACACCCUCAUAGGAGCAACGUCCAGGAUCUCUGCCACCUGCGGGACGAACAACAUUAUUACACCAGAAACAUUCCAUAAAACUGUGACAAGCAGAUAUAGGAAGCCAUCCAUGCUGUCUCUGAGCCAAGUCCAGCACAGGAAUAGUGGCACCCGCCUUGUGUCCCUCUGGGUAAUUAUUCAUGAUUGCUUCAACUCUCUGU